GAAAUGCGAUAAGUAAUGUGAAUUGCAGAAUUCAGUGAAUCAUCGAAUCUUUGAACGCAACUUGCGCUCCUUGGUAUUCCUUGGAGCAUGCCUGUUUGAGCAUCAUGAAAUCUUCAAAGUAAAUCUUUUGUUAACUCAAUUGGUUUCUACUUUGGUAUUGGAGGUCUUUGCAGCUUCACACCUGCUCCUCUUUGUUCAUUAGCUGGAUCUCAGUGUUAUGCUUGGUUCCACUCGGCGUGAUAAGUUAUCUAUCGCUGAGGACACUGUAAAAGGUGGCCAAGGUAAAUGCAGAUGAACCGCUUCUAAUAGUCCAUUGACUUGGACAAUACUUUUAUGAUCUGAUCUCAAAUCAGGUAGGACUACCCGCUGAACUUAAGC
rnacentral:misc_RNA from 1 species